GACGAACGCUGGCGGCGUGCUUAACACAUGCAAGUCGAACGGUAAGGCCCUUCGGGGUACCCGAGUGGCGAACGGGUGAGUAACACGGGGAUGACCUGCCAUGCGCUUCGGGAUAAGCCAGGGAAACUGGGUCUAAUACCGGAUAGCGCAAUUGCUCGCAUGGGCGAUGGGGGAAAGCUUUGGCGGUGUGGGAUGGGCCCGGGGCCUAUCAGCUUGUUGGUGGGGUGAUGGCCUCCCAAGGCGACGACGGGUAGCCGGCCUGAGAGGGUGACCGGCCACACUGGGACUGAGAUACGGCCCAGACUCCUACGGGAGGCAGCAGUGGGGAAUAUUGCACAAUGGGCGCAAGCCUGAUGCAGCGACGCCGCGUGAGGGAUGACGGCCUUCGGGUUGUAAACCUCUUUCAGCACCGACGAAGCGCAAGUGACGGUAGGUGCAGAAGAAGGACCGGCCAACUACGUGCCAGCCGCCGCAGUAA
rnacentral:rRNA from 1 species